rnacentral:rRNA from 1 species
CCCAGACAGCCAGGAUGUUGGCUUAGAAGCAGCCAUCAUUUAAAGAAAGCGUAAUAGCUCACUGGUCGAGUCGGCCUGCGCGGAAGAUGUAACGGGGCUAAACCAUGCACCGAAGCUGCGGCAGCGAACGUAUCACCCAAGACAACUUUGCACAGUUGACGAUUGGCGGAGCGAAGCGACGUCAAAGCGUUUUACAACGUCGAGUUGGCUUAGGGAUACGUUCGUUGGGUAGGGGAGCGUUCUGUAAGCCUGUGAAGGUGGCCUGUGAGGGUUGCUGGAGGUAUCAGAAGUGCGAAUGCUGACAUAAGUAACGAUAAAGCGGGUGAAAAGCCCGCUCGCCGGAAGACCAA